rnacentral:sRNA from 1 species
CAUCAUCUGAGGUGGACAGGAAGCCCAGCCAAGCCACUGGGGCCGACCCCUCCCCUGGACUCACCUGCCUCUGAGCCACACACCCUCCAGCCACUACCCAUAGCAGUUCUGGGGGUGUGUCCUGGGAAGACUCCCUUCUGCUCCCCAAAACCCCAAGGCCUGGCUCGGGGCCACUGGAGCCGCAGGCGGGACAUAUGUGUGACCAGCCCUCUGCUCCUGGCAGCCCCGCGCUGUGUACUGUAAGGACGUGCUGGACAUCGAGCAGUUCUCCACUGUGAAGGGCGUCAAUCUGGACCACACAGACGACGACUUCUACUCCAAGUUCUCCACGGGCUCUGUGUCCAUCCCGUGGCAAAACGAGAUGAUAGAAACAGAAUGCUUUAAGGAGCUGAACGUGUUUGGACCUAAUGGUACCCUCUCGCCAGAUCUGAACAGAAACCACCCUCCGGAACCGCCCAAGAAAGGGCUGCUCCAGAGACUCUUCAAGCGGCAGCAUCAGAACAAUUCCAAGAGUUCGCCCAGCUCCAAGACCAGUUUUAACCACCACAUAAACUCAAACCAUGUCAGCUCAAACUCCACCGGAAGCAGCUAGUUUCGGCUCUGGCCUCCAAGUCCACAGUGGAACCAGCCCAGACCCUUCUCCUUAGAAGCGGAAGUAGUGGAGCCCCUGCUCUGGUGGGGCUGCCAGGGGAGCCCCCCGGGAGCCGGUGAAGGAGGCCGUCCAUCCCGUCGACGUAGAACCUCGAGGUUUCUCAAAGAAAUUUCCACUCAGGUCUGUUUUCCGAGGCGGCCCCGGCCGGGGUGGAUUGGAUUUGUCUUUGGUGAACAUUGCAAUAGAAAUCCAAUUGGAUACGACAACUUGCACGUAUUUUAAUAGCGUCAUAACUAGAACUGAAUUUUGUCUUUAUGAUUUUUAAAGAAAAGUUUUGUAAAUUUCUCUACUGUCUCAGUUUACAUUUUGUAUAUUUGUAUUUAAAUGAAAGUGAGACUUUGAGGGUGUAUAUUUUCUGUGCAGCCACUGUUAAGCCAUGUGUUCCAAGGCAUUUUAGCGGGGAGGGGGUUAUCAAAAAAAAAAAAAAAAUGUGACUCAAGACUUCCAGAGCCUCAAAUGAGAAAAUGUCUUUAUUAAAUGUAGAAAGUGAUCCACACUUCACCUUUGAAGGAUUGGUUGUAUUUACCCACAUCUAUCUCUGGAGCCAUUUCCUCACAUUGGUGUCACCCUUCUGUCGGCUUGGAAUAAUCUGAAUUAAAUGUUCCAGACACACGUGGGACUUCCCCCUCCCAGCCAGAAUGUCCUCUCCUGGGGCCCUCGGAGUCGCCUAGGCUGAGCCCUUCUCCUCGAGGGGCAUGCCGAGCCACUGUCGCACCCACCUCUGUCUGCUCUUCCUUCAGGAAGGCGGCUGGCGCGCGGAUCUAGGUGUUUGCAGCCUGGUGGGCGAUGGGCCUCUUUCCUUCUAAGCAGGUCCUGACUGCUAAAGCCAGUCAUUUGCAAGAGGUUUGCAUUGGGGGAUUUUUGCUCUAUUUUUAACAGACGCAUAGGACCGUAAAGAUGUGUCAUGAAACCCCAAGUGUCCCAAAGCCUCGGGGCCCACAGGAGCAUCGGGAAGUGAGGCAGCGCGCUCAUCCUGACGGAGCAGCGUCGUGUCUGUAGCGGGGAGGGAGGCUGGCCCAGGGACCCGGCAUGUUCCUGAAGCGUUCACAGGGUUUCGAGACCUUCACAGCCCCAUCAAUGUGCUGGCCCAUGUGGCAUGGGUGGGGCAGUCUCUCUGGGCAAAUGAGAGGCCCAAGGAGAGACCAAGCCACCAAAGGGCUCAAGACAUAGUCACUGUUCCUUCCCCAGGAAGGUGGGGCAGAGGCAAGAUCUAUCGGACAUUUCAAAGUUUCAGGCAGGAGCUCCUAGAGGACUUGGUGGCUUUGCCAGCCCAGGGGCCUCUGAAGGCAGCCCCCAGACCCUUGUAGCAGGGCUGUCCAUCCCCAGGGAGCAGCUGGCCACCUCCUCCUGCCUCGAUGAAGUGACCAGGGGCCAAUCUGCUCCCACCUCCCGUCCAGGACAGGGUGAACAUUUGACCUCACUGUCCCCUGCCCGGCUGAGUCCCUGAUGUCUGACUGUGCCACCCAGCAGCUGCCAGGGUCUCUCACCAUGUGGACCCUGCCCUAGCUGCAGUGGCACCUCCUGUCAAAAGUGCAGACUCGCAGGUUCCACCCCAAACCACAGAAUGGGAAUGCCUGGGAGCCCACCCCUGCUGUGGGCUCUCAGCAGGGCUUUGGGGGUGAUCAUCCCAAACACAUUUCUCUGGAUGACGCAGGCAGCAUUGGAGCAUGAGCCGUGGGGAGGACAGUCGUGAGCACACCAGCCGUGAGGCCCAGUUUCCAGGCCUAACCCCCGGACUCUACCCCUGGGUCCUGGGGCGUGCCGCUCAAAGGGUCCUGGCCUUUGGGACUGACCAUUUUGAGGCCCUUUUACAAAGAAAUGGGGGAGAAGAAAUAGCUGGACUUCCCUCAAAUCUUUUUAAUGUGCAGUAUUUUUUUGUUCAAGACCAGCUCUUGUUUUAUGAGGCUCCUUCCAUUACCUUUCUUGGGCUGAAUGCAAAACAAAUACAGCCAUAUUCAAGUCUUCCAAGGAAGUAGAAAACUCUUUGAAUGGUAUCUUAAGAUCCUUAAGCUCUUGCUGAACUUCCUUUUUCAAUGAAAAGAAGGACCAUCAUCCUAGGAUGGUCACCAGCCCAAGCCACCACCCCAGCCACCCAUCCAGGAGGUUGGUUCCUUUUCCCCAGUUCAUAGCAGCUCAGUCCUUACCAAAUGGAUUCUUGGUGUUGGGAGGCAGCCUCUUUUUAUUCCUGAAAGGCAAUGCCCUGUCCGUUUGCAGUAGAGAACCCCCAGGGAGCAAGAAAGCUGACAGAAGUGUGGCUGCCGUGUUUCUAGGUCAUGAGAGCUCUGGCAGUACUACCACAAGGCCUGCACGUGGACUCUAUGAUAACUUGAGUCUUCCAUCAUGUUUGCCACCAGCCCUCCCUGAGUGCCCAGAGGAGAUGGGGGCAGAGUCACUUGGCCUACUAAAGCCUCCUGUUCCUUCUGGCUCAUGCAUUGCUUUGUGGUAAGAGAAAGGAAGUCUUUAGAACAGUGCCUGGGAAUCAGCCCUUCUCCCUACUGAGUCCCCAGUCCUGUCCCUUCCCUGACUCGCUCCUCCUCCAACCUUGGUUUCUAUAGCUGCAUUUUUUUUUUUUUUUUUGAGACAAGAUCUCAUUGUGUUCCCCAGGCUGAAGUGCAGUGGCAUGAUUCUGGCUCACUGCAGCCUCAAACUCCUGAGCCCAAGCUAUCCUCCUGCCUCAGCCUCCGAGGUAGCUGGGACCAUAGGCGUGCACCACCAUGCUCAGCUAAUUUUUAAAAUUUGUUGUAGAGAUGGGGGGUCUCCCCAUGUUGCCCAGGCUGGCCUCGAACUCCUGAGCCCAAGCUAUCCUCCUGCCUCAGCCUCCCAAAGUGCUGAGGUUAUAGGUGUGAGCCACUGUCCCUGGCCUAUACGGUCAUUUUUAAAAAGAUAUUUUAAAAUUAAAAGCAAACAACACUGUCCACCCAUCUACCUGUCCAGGAUAAGGCAUAUUUGGACGGUGAACAGAUUUACUCUCGUUCGUGCAUUUGAGCGCUUCACAGAAGAGUCUUUCUUGCUCCAGGCAUGACAUUUUUUUUCACCAGACGUUCACUGACUUCGUGACUUUGAGGUGAGACAUGGGAUCUCUCAGAAGCGUCUCUGCAUCUGCAUUUCAGGAGAUGAGCUGCUGUCCCUGGUGGACAGAGGUGGUCUCUGCCAUGGUCACCAUGAUGCCCUACAAGUGUUUAUUGAGUCCCUUGGGGGGCACCCAGAAUACCACCCAAAAUAGCAAGAAGACCCAGUCCCCGCCUUGCGGACGAUGCACUCACACGCCACAGCAACCCAUUCUCGCCUCUUCCUUGGCCGGGAACCCGGGGCUCUAGGGCUGCUCGCUGCUGCUGUGGCCUGCGCAGCCAUGGGAGGCUUCCUGAAAGGCAUUGCUUGGAGGGGCGGGGGCGGGGAGGCCUAGCCUGCCCCACAGACACAGCUGUGAGGCCUGGGUCAUACACAUACCAGCAAGCAGCUGCCGAGACAAAUGGUGGUGGGAAGUCCUGGGAACACACACAGCCUUUGCAUUAACAGCACAAGUAGGAUCAGAGCCCAGGUGAGCCCCUGAGGAUACCGAGGCCUUCCCUCCCUGAGGCCCGCAAGUCUCCAUGCGUCUCCCGGGAGCCUGGCCCCGCUGCAGAAAUCCCUCCUCUUCCUCCACACCCUGUCCUUUCCCCAAAGGCUCGUGUUAUCAGUUCCAGCUACCCAUCGACUUUCCCACUGAGCCGCUGCCCUCAAAACGGAGGGGGCACCGCAGCCUCCUUGAGCCUGGCAUCCCAGGCCUUGCCAAAGGGGACAGUGGCUUCCUGGAUAAUUGGAAAUCUCUGAGAAGAAGAGGAAACACCUGAGUGACACUCAGCUGUCCUCUGGGGUCCCCUGGUGUGCAUGCACGUCCUCCUGAAUACCUGUACUUCCAAGAGGUGGUCUCCUGUUUUCAUAACCCAACACUCUGAGAUAGGAUCUUCCAACUUUUUAGCCCCGGCUGUGGAAAGAUAGUGAGUAUGAAGUCUUUGUGCAUUUGGAAGUGACAUCGCUGUGUGGAUUAUGAACACAGAGAGCUGCCAUCUUCCUGAUCACAAUGGACCACGAAUGCAGAGCCUCCUCUCCCAGAGACCCCUUCUGCGCCUGCCCUCCCCACCCACCACCCAGCUGUUGAAGCUCAGCGUGUGCAAGUCAGACCCUGCACAGGCCGGGGGUGGCUCACCUGGCCUAAACAUAAAGGCUUGUGCCGGAGACAGUGAUUGAAAACAUUUGAAAAGCCAGCUCUCCCUGGCAGAGAAAGACGCUUCCCCUGAAGUGGAAUUUAGAUGUCUUUCCCUAGUCCAUCAAGAAGUCAUUUUUGUAACAGUCCCUAAGCAAGUGUUUUCAAUUAGAAGAGUUUAGGGGCUUUUGGUGUUGUUAAAAUAAUAAUAAUCCUUCUAGCAUCCAAAGCUUUCUAAUUUUUUUCAGGGAGAUUUGGACAUUAAUGAAUGGAAACUUCCAUGGUGGCGGUCACUCCUGAAGGCAGCGGCUUCUGUUCUCCCGCUGCUGUAACUCUGUGUGUUCCGUCUAUCGCGUCACAGUGCCGCUGGAUCUAGAUGGAGCCACUGUUGUUGUUUUUAAAAGAGAAAUAAAUUCCUUAAUGGAA